GCCAGGUGUUGUGGUGGGUACCUGUAGUCCCAGCUACUUGGGAGGCUGAGGCAAGAGAAUCGCUUAAGCCCAGGAGUUAGAGGUUGCUGUGAGCUGUGAUGCUACAGCACUCUACCCAGGGUGAUAGCUUGAGGCUUUGUCUCAAAAAAGAAAAAGAAAAAUUGACUGGGCAUUAUAAUCAGUUGGGGAAUUAAAAAACAUUCUUUAUUUGUGUUUUUUAUUUUUAUUUUUUGGUAGAGACAAAAUCUUACUUUGUUGCCCUGGGUAGGGUGUCAUUGCAUCACAUAGCUCAGAGCAACCUCCAAUUCCUGGGCUUAGGCUAUUCUCUUGCCUCAG
rnacentral:SRP_RNA from 1 species